rnacentral:tRNA from 1 species
GUCCCUAUAGCUCAAUCGGUUAGUAUAAAACCAUAGCAUAUGACUGUUAAUCAUAAGGUCGAGAGUUCGAGUCUCUCUGGGGACG